rnacentral:rRNA from 1 species
GACGAACGCUGGCGGCGUGCUUAACACAUGCAAGUCGAACGAUGAAGCUGGAGCUUGCUCCGGCGGAUUAGUGGCGAACGGGUGAGUAACACGUGAGCAAUCUGCCCUUCACUCUGGGAUAACUGCGGGAAACUGUAGCUAAUACCGGAUACGAGGCUUGGAGGCAUCUCCAGGUCUGGAAAGAAUUUCGGUGAAGGAUGAGCUCGCGGCCUAUCAGCUUGUUGGUGAGGUAAUGGCUCACCAAGGCGACGACGGGUAGCCGGCCUGAGAGGGUGACCGGCCACACUGGGACUGAGACGCGGCCCAGACUCCUACGGGAGGCAGAAGUGGGGAAUAUUGCACAAUGGGCGAAAGCCUGAUGCAGCAACGCCGCGUGAGGGAUGAAGGCCUUCGGGUUGUAAACCUCUUUUAGCAGGGAAGAAGCGAAAGUGACGGUACCUGCAGAAAAAGCACCGGCUAACUACGUGCCAGCCGCCGCCGUAA